UACGUAGGGUGCAAGCGUUGUCCGGAAUUAUUGGGCGUAAAGAGCGCGUAGGCGGCCCGUUAAGUCGGAUGUGAAAACCCGUGGCUCAACCACGGGCCUGCAUCCGAUACUGGCGGGCUCGAGGCAGGCAGGGGAGAUCGGAAUUCCUGGUGUAGCGGUGAAAUGCGCAGAUAUCAGGAGGAACACCGGUGGCGAAGGCGGAUCUCUGGGCCUGUCCUGACGCUCAGGCGCGAAAGCUAGGGGAGCAAACAGG
rnacentral:rRNA from 1 species